rnacentral:lncRNA from 1 species
GGCUCUAUGGGGCUGCAAUGGGUCCCUAUGGAUUCUAUGGGGCUAAAAUGGGGCCCUAUGGGGCUGCAAUGGGUUCUAUGGGGCUAAAAUGGGGCCCUAUGGGUUCUAUGGGGCUAAAAUGGGUCCUAUGGGGCUAAAAUGGGGCUGCAAUGGGUCCCUAUGGGGCUGCAAUGGGUCCUAUGGGGUUAAAAUGGAUCCCUAUGGGGGGGGGUCUCUAUUGCUGCACCACAAAAGAGAAACGAUUUAAAGCUGAAUUGAGUGGCCAUGUUGGCUGGGUGGCCGCCAUGUUGGGGCGGGGGGGGUCCGCCAUGUUGGCUGGGUGGCCGCCAUGUUGGGAGGGGUCGGCCGCCAUGUUGGGAGGGGUCGGCCGCCAUGUUGGGAGGGGUCGGCCGCCAUGUUGGUUGGGGGGUCGCCAUGUUGGGAGG